UACGGGGGGGGCAAGCGUUGUUCGGAAUUACUGGGCGUAAAGGGCUCGUAGGCGGCCAACUAAGUCGGACGUGAAAUCCCCAGGCUCAACCUGGGAACUGCGUCCGAUACUGGAUGGCUUGAAUCCGGGAGAGGGAUGCAGAAUUCCAGGUGUAGCGGUGAAAUGCGUAGAUAUCAGGAGGAACACCGGUGGCGAAGGCGGCCAUCUGGACGACAACUGACGCUGAGAUGCGAAAGCGUGGGGAGCAAACAGG
rnacentral:rRNA from 1 species